rnacentral:snRNA from 1 species
GCGAACAAGUACCGCGAGGU